UGGGGAAUUUUGGACAAUGGGGGAAACCCUGAUCCAGCCAUCCCGCGUGUGCGAUGAAGGCCUUCGGGUUGUAAAGCACUUUUGGCAGGAAAGAAACGUCGCGGGUUAAUACCCCGCGAAACUGACGGUACCUGCAGAAUAAGCACCGGCUAACUACGUGCCAGCAGCCGCGGUAAUACGUAGGGUGCAAGCGUUAAUCGGAAUUACUGGGCGUAAAGCGUGCGCAGGCGGUUCGGAAAGAAAGAUGUGAAAUCCCAGAGCUUAACUUUGGAACUGCAUUUUUAACUACCGGGCUAGAGUGUGUCAGAGGGAGGUGGAAUUCCGCGUGUAGCAGUGAAAUGCGUAGAUAUGCGGAGGAACACCGAUGGCGAGGGCAGCCUCCUGGGAUAACACUGACGCUCAUGCACGAAAGCGUGGGGAGCAAACAGGAUUAGAUACCCUGGUAGUCCACGCCCUAAACGAUGUCAACUAGCUGUUGGGGCCUUCGGGCCUUGGUAGCGCAGCUAACGCGUGAAGUUGACCGCCUGGGGAGUACGGUCGCAAGAUUAAAACUCAAAUGAAUUGACGGGGUCGAUANCU
rnacentral:rRNA from 1 species